GACGAACGCUGGCGGCGUGCUUAACACAUGCAAGUCGAACGAUGAAGAAGAGAAACGCGAACUUCGGUUCAAAUUUCACUUCGGAUUAAUGGCAGACGGGUGAGUAACGCGUGAGCAACCUACCUCUUACAAAGGGAUAGCCUCGGGAAACCGUGAUUAAUACCAUAUGACACAUUCAUAAGGCAUCUUAAGAAUGUUAAAGCUACGGCGGUAAGAGAUGGGCUCGCGUCCCAUUAGCUAGUUGGUGAGGUAACGGCCCACCAAGGCGACGAUGGGUAACCGGCCUGAGAGGGUGAACGGUCACAUUGGAACUGAGACACGGUCCAAACUCCUACGGGAGGCAGCAGUGGGGAAUAUUGCACAAUGGAGGGAACUCUGAUGCAGCGACGCCGCGUGAGCGAUGAAGGAAUUCGUUUCGUAAAGCUCUGUUCUAUGGGAAGAAAAGGACUGUACCAUAGGAGAAAGCCCCGGCUAAAUACGUG
rnacentral:rRNA from 1 species